AAGCCUGACGGAGCAAUACCGCGUGAGGGAGGAAGGCUCUUGGGUUGUAAACCUCUUUUCUCAGGGAAGAACACAAUGACGGUACCUGAGGAAUAAGCAUCGGCUAACUCCGUGCCAGCAGCCGCGGUAAUACGGAGGAUGCAAGCGUUAUCCGGAAUGAUUGGGCGUAAAGCGUCCGCAGGUGGCAAUGUAAGUCUGCUGUUAAAGAGUCUAGCUCAACUAGAUAAAGGCAGUGGAAACUACAUAGCUAGAGUGCGUUCGGGGUAGAGGGAAUUCCUGGUGUAGCGGUGAAAUGCGUAGAUAUCAGGAAGAACACCGGUGGCGAAGGCGCUCUACUAGGCCGCAACUGACACUGAGGGACGAAAGCUAGGGGAGCGAAUGGGAUUAGAUACCCCAGUAGUCCUAGCCGUAAACGAUGGAUACUAGGCGUGGCUUGUAUCGACCCGAGCCGUGCCGGAGCUAACGCGUUAAGUAUCCCGCCUGGGGAGUACGCACGCAAGUGUGAAACUCAAAGGAAUUGACGGGGGCCCGCACAAGCGGUGGAGUAUGUGGUUUAAUUCGAUGCAACGCGAAGAACCUUACCAAGGCUUGACAUGUCGCGAAUUUCGGUGAAAGCUGAAAGUGCCUUAGGGAGCGCGAACACAGGUGGUGCAUGGCUGUCGUCAGCUCGUGUCGUGAGAUGUUGGGUUAAGUCCCGCAACGAGCGCAACCCUCGUUUCUAGUUGCCAGCAUUAAGAUGGGAACUCUAGAGAGACUGCCGGUGACAAACCGGAGGAAGGUGGGGAUGACGUCAAGUCAGCAUGCCCCUUACGCCUUGGGCUACACACGUACUACAAUGCUACGGACAAAGGGCAGCUACACAGCGAUGUGAUGCAAAUCUCAUAAACCGUAGCUCAGUUCAGAUCGAAGGCUGCAACUCGCCUUCGUGAAGGAGGAAUCGCUAGUAAUUGCAGGUCAGCAUACUGCAGUGAAUUCGUUCCCGGGCCUUGUACACACCGCCCGUCACACCAUGGAAGUUGGUCACGCCCGAAGUCAUUACCCCAACCUUUUGGAGGGGG
rnacentral:rRNA from 1 species